rnacentral:rRNA from 1 species
AUACGGAGGGUGCGAGCGUUAAUCGGAAUUACUGGGCGUAAAGCGUGCGUAGGCGGUUGAUUUAGUCAGAUGUGAAAGCCCCGGGCUCAACCUGGGAACUGCAUUUGAAACUGGUCAACUGGAGUAUGGUAGAGGGGGGUAGAAUUUCUGGUGUAGCGGUGAAAUGCGUAGAUAUCAGAAGGAAUACCGAUGGCGAAGGCAGCCCCCUGGACCAAUACUGACGCUGAGGUGCGAAAGCGUGGGGAGCAAACAGGAUUAGAAACCCGGGUAGUCC